UACCGAGGGGGCAAGCGUUAUUCGGAAUUAUUGGGCGUAAAGGGCGCGUAGGCGGCUUUGCAAGUGGCGGGUGAAAUCCCUCGGCUUAACCGAGGAACUGCCUGUCAAACUGCAUGGCUUGAGACCAGGAGAGGUGAGUGGAAUUCCCAGUGUAGCGGUGAAAUGCGUAGACAUUGGGAGGAACACCAGUGGCGAAGGCGGCUCACUGGACUGGUACUGACGCUGAGACGCGAAAGCGUGGGGAGCGAACCGG
rnacentral:rRNA from 1 species